rnacentral:rRNA from 1 species
CCCAAUUAAUCUCGUGGUAGACCACCACGUUAAUAGGACAGAUGUGUACAUACAGCAAUGUAUUUAGCUUACUGUUACUAAUAAGAUGAUCGGCUUGAUCUU